CUCUCACUGGAGGUUGCUCAUUCACUUGAUUCCCACAUACCACGAAGGCAGGUGGAUGGACAGUCUUCAUGCUGCCACUGCUGCUUCUAGACAUCACUCCUCCUCCCUUAUAAAAACAAAAAACACAAACAAAAAUCCAACAGCAACCAGUCCUGAGGUUUGUGACAUCACAGUCGUCUAUACAUGUUGACUUAAUUCCUCAAACCAAGUUCCCCCCAUCCUAACAGGGACCCUCAUCAGUCCAAAGUCUGAUUCCAUCCAUCAAUAAUUUCUCCUCGGGGUUUCACAGAAUCCAUUUCAGGGUAACAUUUGAGAAUGGCCUGCUGAGAACUGAUUUGUCUGGUCCAGGUAGCAUGAGAGCUGUGCAUGUGGAAAACAAUUAGGACCAGAGAGCUUCUUCCCACACAAUCAGAGAGCAGGAGAAAGAAGCUGAAUCCAGACAGUACCAUCUACCUAGUGCAACUGAUGUGGAUCAAAGAUAGACUGCAAAGGAGGGAAUCAACAGCUCUGGAACACCACCCUUGCAAACCUACACCUAUGACGUGGCGGCAAUUGUUCCAUGAGGAGUUGAUCCCAACCACUCCCAGGAAUUGUCCUGCAGGACAGUCAUUUGGUAGCAGGGCUGGGAGGAAAACAGGAGCAGCCAUGUUGAAACCUCACAGCCAGUGACUGGACUAGGAGAACCGGCACCAGAGGAGUCUCCCAUGAUGCCAUGUUCUGAGGCACUUCAGACUGGCGCCACCAGGAGGCCCAAUUCAAUCAAAGUUGCUUUUGUGCUACUCUUCCUGUCAUUAGUUUACAACAUGUCACUGGUCCUUGUGCUACACAGACAGUAGCAUCACCCUGCACAUCACAGAGAAUGCUGAUUCACUCUCUGAGGCAUAAAGGACAGGAGGAAGGAAAGCUGGAAGGCAGAAGUAGUGGACAAAGCAUUUUACGCUUUACCUCAGGACUCAAGUAACAACUUAAUGACAUUUGUGGGAGAGCAGGCCCACUUUACUUCGGAAUCCAUCCAGGCAUGCUGGUAAUUCUCAUUACGAGGUGGCCCUUCAUCUUCUCACGAGUGGAACAAUGUGGCUGUCACCACAAGGACUGAAGAGGCAGGUGGGCACUAUGCGGCAGGAGCAAAAGGAUUCCUCAGCAGCGGUGACCAUGUUUCAUGCAAACAACCUGAGAAACAACAGGAAAGAAGAAACAAAAAAU
rnacentral:lncRNA from 1 species